AUUGAACGCUGGCGGAAUGCUUUACACAUGCAAGUCGAACGGCAGCACGGGGGAAGCCCUGGUGGCGAGUGGCGAACGGGUGAGUAAUACAUCGGAACGUGCCCGGUCGUGGGGGAUAACGUAGCGAAAGUUACGCUAAUACCGCAUACGAUCUGAGGAUGAAAGCGGGGGACCUUCGGGCCUCGCGCGAUCGGAGCGGCCGAUGUCAGAUUAGGUAGUUGGUGGGGUAAAGGCCUACCAAGCCGACGAUCUGUAGCUGGUCUGAGAGGACGACCAGCCACACUGGGACUGAGACACGGCCCAGACUCCUACGGGAGGCAGCAGUGGGGAAUUUUGGACAAUGGGCGCAAGCCUAAUCCAGCCAUUCCGCGUGCAGGACGAAGGCCUUCGGGUUGUAAACUGCUUUUGUACGGAACGAAAAGGCUCUGGCUAAUACCUGGGGCUCAUGACGGUACCGUAAGAAUAAGCACCGGCUAACUACGUG
rnacentral:rRNA from 1 species